CCGAAACACUCCUAGUGUACGUAACUGUAAGCUUUUGAUGGCAGUUUGUUUUGAAAAUAGUCACUGGAAAUGGUCAACUGACAGUGAAUAUGUCUCAUGAUAUAUUUUGGAUUACAAAUUUAUGCAGAUGAAUUACUUGGUGAAAAUAACGAAAUACAUACCCUUUGG